rnacentral:rRNA from 1 species
UACGGGGGGAGCAAGCGUUGUUCGGAUUUACUGGCGUAAAGGGCGCGUAGGCGGUCAGCACAAGUCAGUUGUGAAAUCUCCGGGCUUAACUCGGAAAGGUCAACUGAUACUGUGCGACUAGAGUGCGGAAGGGGCAACUGGAAUUCUCGGUGUAGCGGUGAAAUGCGUAGAUAUCGAGAGGAACACCUGCGGCGAAGGCGGGUUGCUGGGCUGACACUGACGCUGAUGCGCGAAAGCCAGGGAGCGAAGCGGG